rnacentral:rRNA from 1 species
UACGUAGGGUGCGAGCGUUGUCCGGAAUUACUGGGCGUAAAGGGCGCGUAGGCGGCGCCGCAAGUCGACUGUGAAAUCUCCGGGCUUAACCCGGAAAGGUCAGCCGAUACUGCGGGGCUAGAGUGCAGAAGGGGCAACUGGAAUUCUCGGUGUAGCGGUGAAAUGCGUAGAUAUCGAGAGGAACACCUGCGGCGAAGGCGGGUUGCUGGGCUGACACUGACGCUGAUGCGCGAAAGCUAGGGGAGCGAACGGG